GUAAGCCUACGGGAGGCAGCAGUAGGGAAUCUUCCACAAUGGGCGAAAGCCUGAUGGAGCAACGCCGCGUGGGUGAAGAAGGUCUUCGGAUCGUAAAACCCUGUUGUUAGAGAAGAAAGUGCGUGAGAGUAACUGUUCACAUUUCGACGGUAUCUAACCAGAAAGCCACGGCUAACUACGUGCCAGCAGCCGCGGUAAUACGUAGGUGGCAAGCGUUAUCCGGAUUUAUUGGUCGUAAAGGGAACGCAGGCGGUCUUUUAAGUCUGAUGUGAAAGCCUUCGGCUUAACCGGCGUAGUGACU
rnacentral:rRNA from 1 species